rnacentral:misc_RNA from 1 species
CGCGGGCGGCGACGAGCAGGUGCAGUUCGAGCACGCGAUUCUGGCGACCGGUUCGCUGCCCGCGAUUCCGCCGAUGCUGAAGGUGGACGACCCGCGCGUGAUGGACUCGACCGCGGCGCUCGACCUCCCCGACAUCCCGAAAUCGCUGCUGGUGGUUGGCGGCGGCUACAUCGGCCUCGAGCUCGGCACCGUCUAUGCCACUCUCGGCAGCGCCGUGACGGUGGUCGAGAUGACGCCGGGUCUUCUGCCGGGCGCCGAUCGCGAUCUCGUCGACGUCCUCGCCAAGCGCGUGAACCAGACGAUGAAGAGCGUGCUGCUCGAGACGAAGGUCGUGCAGGUCAAGCCCGAGUCGAACGGCGUGCGCGUGACCUUCGAAGGCAGCGUCGAACCCAAAGAGCAGCUGUUCGACCGCGUGCUGGUCUCGGUCGGGCGCCGGCCGAACUCGAAGAUCCCGGGGCUCGAGAAGACCCAGGUGCAGAUCGAUCAGCGCGGCUUCAUCAUGGUCGACGAACAGCGGCGCACGCACGAACCGUCGAUUUUCGCGAUCGGCGACGUGGUCGGCGAGCCGAUGCUGGCCCACAAGGCGUCGCACGAAGGGCGCGUUGCCGUCGAGGUGAUGGCCGGCGAGAACGUCGCCUUUGCGCCCCGCGCGAUUCCCGCGGUGGUGUUCACGGACCCGGAGCUGGCGUGGGCGGGGCUGACCGAAUCGCAGGCCGCGAAGGAGAAUCGGAAGGUCACCGUCG